AGCUCCAAUAGCGUAUAUUAAAGUUGUUGCAGUUAAAAAGCUCGUAGUUGGAUUUCUGGUGGGGGUGUUUGGCCGGCUCAAUGAGUUUUGCGCCUAUACGUCUCCGCCAUCCUUGGGGAAAACUUGCUUGGCAUUAAGUUGUCGAGUUUGGGAUCCCCAUCGUUUACUGUGAAAAAAUUAGAGUGUUCAAAGCAGGCUUAUGCCGUUGAAUACAUUAGCAUGGAAUAAUAAGAUAGGACCUUGGUACUAUUUUGUUGGUUUGCGUACCUAGGUAAUGAUUAAUAGGGACAGUUGGGGGUAUUCGUAUUCAAUUGUCAGAGGUGAAAUUCUUGGAUUUAUGGAAGACGAACUACUGCGAAAGCAUUUACCAAGGAUGUUUUCAUUA
rnacentral:rRNA from 1 species